GACUGCUAUUGGGGUUCGACUAAGCCAUGCGAGUUUUCCGCAAGGAAGCGAACUGCUGAGUAACACGUAGGCAACCUAACUUAAGGUGAGAAAUACCCUCGAGAAAUUGAGGCUAAUGUCUUAUAGGUUUUGGACACUGGAAUGUGCCAAAACUCAAAGCUUCGGCGCCUUAAGAUGGGCCUGCGACUGAUCAGGCUGUUGGCGGGGUAAUGGCCCACCAAACCAUCGACCAGUAGGGGCGGUGAGAGCUGAAGCCCCCAGUUGAGUACUGAGACACGGACUCAGGCCCUACGGGGCGCAGCAGGCGCGAAACCUCCGCAAUGCACGCAAGUGUGACGGGGGGACCCCAAGUGUUCUCGGUUUUACCGAGAAUUUUUCUUUAGCGUAAAUAACUGGAGGAAUAAGAGCUGGGUAAGACAGGUGCCAGCCGCCGCGGUAAUACCUGCAGCUCGAGUUGUCUGGAGUUUUAUUGGGUCUAAAGCGUCCGUAGCCGGACCUACAAGUUCUCUGUGAAAUCCAGCAGCCUAACUGUUGGACGUGCGGGGAAUACUGUUGGUCUUGGGACCGGGAAGGGCUAAGGGUACUCUCGGGGUAGGGGUGAAAUCCAAUAAUCCUGAGGGGACCACCUGUGGCUAAACCUUUUCAAGUGUGAAGAGGUUCCACUUAAGGCGCUUAGCUUAAACGGGUCCGACGGUGAGGGACGAAAGCCAGGGGAGCGAACGGGAUUAGAUACCCCGGUAGUCCUGGCUGUAAAUGAUGCGGACUAGGUGUUACAAACCUCUCGUAGGUCUGUAGUGCCGAAGGGAAGCCAUUAAGUCCGCCACCUGGGAAGUACGGUCGCAAGAUUGAAACUUAAAGGAAUUGACGGGGGAGCACCACAAGGGGUGGAGCCUGCGGUUUAAUUGGAUUAAACGCCGGAAAUCUCACUGGGGGCGACAGCAGUAUGAAGGCCAGGUUGACGACCUUGCUAGACUCGCUGAGAGGUAGUGCAUGGCCGUCGUCAGUUCGUGCCGUAAGGUGUUCGGUUAAGUCCGACAACGAACGAGACCCAUGCCAUUAGUUGCUAACUUUCCUUUCGAGGGGGGUGCACUCUAAUGGGACCGCUGUUGAUGAAGCAGAGGAAGGCGUGGGCAACGGUAGGUCAGUAUGCUCCGAAUCCCCCAGGCUACACGCGGGCUACAAUGGUUGGCACAAUGAGUUGCGACCCUGAAAAGGGUAGCUAAUCUCCAAAUCCAACCCCAGUUCGGAUCGAGGGCUGUAACUCGCCCUCGUGAAGCCGGAAUCCCUAGUAAUCAGGUGUCAUUAGCGCCUGGUGAAUACGUCCCUGCUCCUUGUACACACCGCCCGUCAAAUCACCUGAGUUAGGUUUGGGUGAGGCUUCGCCUAUUGGCGAAUUCGAACCCGAGCUUAGCAAGGGGGGU
rnacentral:rRNA from 1 species